AUUGAACGCUGGCGGCAGGCUUAACACAUGCAAGUCGAGCGGGGAAGAGUAGCUUGCUACUUAACCUAGCGGCGGACGGGUGAGUAAUGCUUAGGAAUCUGCCUAUUAGUGGGGGACAACAUAUCGAAAGGGAUGCUAAUACCGCAUACGUCCUACGGGAAAAAGCAGGGGACAUACGGGCCUUGCGGUAAUAGAUGAGCCUAAGUCGGAGUAGCUAGUUGGUGGGGUAAAGGCCUACCAAGGCGACGAGCUGUAGCGGGUCUGAGAGGAUGAUCCGCCACACUGGGGCUGAGACACGGCCCAGACUCCUACGGGAGGCAGCAGUGGGGAAUAUUGGACAAUGGGGGGAACCCUGAUCCAGCCAUGCCGCGUGUGUGAAGAAGGCCUUUUGGUUGUAAAGCACUUUAAGCGAGGAGGAGGCUACCGAGAUUAAUACUCUUGGAUAGUGGACGUUACUCGCAGAAUAAGCACCGGCUAACUUCGUGCCAGCCGCCGCGGUAACAC
rnacentral:rRNA from 1 species